rnacentral:rRNA from 1 species
UACGUAGGUGGCAAGCGUUGUCCGGAUUUACUGGGUGUAAAGGGCGUGCAGCCGGGCUGACAAGUCAGAUGUGAAAUCCCGCGGCUCAACCGCGGAACUGCAUUUGAAACUGUUGGUCUUGAGUACUGGAGAGGCAGGCGGAAUUCCUAGUGUAGCGGUGAAAUGCGUAGAUAUUAGGAGGAACACCAGUGGCGAAGGCGGCCUGCUGGACAGCAACUGACGGUGAGGCGCGAAAGCGUGGGGAGCAAACAGG